rnacentral:pre_miRNA from 1 species
CAACUACUCCCUCUGUCCCAAAUUUCUUGUCUUAGAUUUGUCUACAUACAGAUGUAUCUAAUACUAAAAUGUGACUUGAUACAUCCGUAUCUAGACAAAUCUAAGACAAGAAUUUUGGGACGGAGGGAGUACUUU